ACUCCUACGGGAGGCAGCAGUGAGGAAUAUUGGACAAUGGGUGGAAGCCUGAUCCAGCCAUCCCGCGUGCAGGAAGACGGCCCUAUGGGUUGUAAACUGCUUUUAUCUGGGGAUAAACCUACUUACGUGUAAGUAGCUGAAGGUACCAGAAGAAUAAGCACCGGCUAACUCCGUGCCAGCAGCCGCGGUAAUACGGAGGGUGCAAGCGUUAUCCGGAUUUAUUGGGUUUAAAGGGUCCGUAGGCGGACUGAUAAGUCAGUGGUGAAAUCCGACAGCUUAACUGUCGAACUGCCAUUGAUACUGUUAGUCUUGAGUAAGGUUGAAGUGGCUGGAAUAAGUAGUGUAGCGGUGAAAUGCAUAGAUAUUACUUAGAACACCAAUUGCGAAGGCAGGUCACUAAGUCUUAACUGACGCUGAUGGACGAAAGCGUGGGGAGCGAACAGGAUUAGAAACCCCAGUAGUCC
rnacentral:rRNA from 1 species